GCCAGGUGUGGUGACACACACCUGUAAUCCCAGUGGCUUGGGAGGUGAGGCAGGAGGAUUGUGAGUUCAAAGUAAAUCUCAGCAAAAGCAAGGAACUAAGCAACUCAGUGAGACCCUGUCUCUA
rnacentral:sRNA from 1 species